UCGGCAAGCUGAAUAUUAAAGCUAUCGUAUCUGCAGUACAAAUAUAUAAACAUUUUGUGCAUUUUAAAACACUCAUAGCAUUAUUUUACAAAUAUAAACAUUGGGUAAACCUGUGACAUAAUUUAGCCAGAAUUCGUUUCGGGGGACAAGGGACCAUGGUUCUGCGAACUUCACAUGGGAUAAGGACACUCUGUGGCCACAAAAAGAAAAAGGUAGGAGAUUUCCUAAAAUUUGGUUGAGAGUUCUUUUCCCUGUGAGGUGGUGCGGACUACUGCUCUCUGUCCUCUUCGAAUCAGUUGGUUGUGUCAGACCGCCUCACGCUGCUACGUGCGUGAGACUAUGUGAAGAUAGUAGACUGGGUGCAGAAGCACUUCGUCUCCUUCAGAGUGUGAGAUUGCCUCACGCUGCUAUAGGUGUGAGUUUGUCAUAUGUGGAGCUAUAGGCUGGGUGCAGGAAAGCACUGGCCAGUAGCGUGGGGAGACAGCCGGGCCCGGGUUGUGAUGUGUUUUCUAGGCUGAAUGCCUGGUGACAAAAGGUUCUGGGUAAUUUUUGGGAUAACAAGGGGAGUGGCAGGCACGAGUGUGUCUGUCCAUUGUUGAACUGUGAGUUUGGGCAAUUUUUUGUUUUAUGAGCUCUGACAGAUACAGAUUGGCUUGAUGAGCAGGAGAUAGAAAAAGAGGUCAAUAAGGAUAGGCCGAAAAGCCUAUUCAGGGAUCCCAAUUGAACAAGCACGUCCCAUAUCUCCUGACCAAGUGUAGAAGAAACACACAAAUUGGAAAAAUCACACAAAUUGGAAAAAAUUGAAGAAAUCAAAACAAGAAUUAAAAUAGAAGACUGCUGACUGACUCCAGUGACUGACUUGGACUUCAAACACGUGUGAAAGGGUAUACCAUUGUGUGAUGAAAAAGUGAAGUGUGUGGGUUGA